GAUGAAGAACGGCAGCGAAACGCGAUAGUUAAUGUGAAUUGCAGAAUUCAGUGAAUCAUCGAGUCUUUGAACGCACAUUGCGCCCAUUGGUAUUCCAUUGGGCAUGUCUGUUUGAGCGUCAUUACAACCCCUCAGCGCAAGCUGGUUUUGAGUUCGCACAGCCGGAUUACUGGAAACAGUUUUUACGGGUGAGUGCUGGCUUUAAAGUUGUAAGCUCUGCUGGCUGCUUUGCCAAACUACAAACAUAGUAGAACUACUCUUGUUUACAGUGAAGCUUGGUGGUUCGGCCUGAACAAAACCACAAAUUUUCUAAGGUUUGACCUCAGAUCAGACAAGGAUACCCGCUGAACUUAAGCAUAUCAAUAAGCGGAGGA
rnacentral:misc_RNA from 1 species